rnacentral:rRNA from 1 species
GACGAACGCUGGCGGCGUGCUUAACACAUGCAAGUCGAACGGAAAGGCCCUGCUUUUGUGGGGUGCUCGAGUGGCGAACGGGUGAGUAACACGUGAGUAACCUGCCCUUGACUUUGGGAUAACUUCAGGAAACUGGGGCUAAUACCGGAUAGGAGCUCCUGCUGCAUGGUGGGGGUUGGAUAGUUUCGGCGGUUGGGGAUGGACUCGCGGCUUAUCAGCUUGUUGGUGGGGUAGUGGCUUACCAAGGCUUUGACGGGUAGCCGGCCUGAGAGGGUGACCGGCCACAUUGGGACUGAGAUACGGCCCAGACUCCUACGGGAGGCAGCAGGGGGGAAUAUUGCACAAUGGGCGGGAGCCUGAUGCAGAAACGCCGCGUGCGGGAUGACGGCCUUCGGGUUGUAAACCGCUUUCGCCUGUGACGAAGCGUGAGUGACGGUAAUGGGUAAAGAAGCACCGGCUAACUACGUG